GUCUCCGAUGCCGCCCUUGCGCGUUCUCGCAGCUCCGGCUCGCCCGGGGGUCGCGCGGCCUGUUUGGUCCUCGGGCCAGGGGAAGGGGCCGGGCCAGCGGGGCGCGCGGCACGGUCCCUGGGGUCCUCGAGACUACGAGGGCUGGGGUCUCCCCAGCCGCUCCCGUGCGCCAAGUGGUCGGAAUGAAUGGGUGGGCGCGCUCUGCCCGUGGGGACUCUGGUCGCGUUGAGGCGCCCCCUUGGCCGAGUCCAGCUGUGAGCCUGGGUCUCUGCAUGGGCCGUACCCCAGUGCCGAUGAUGAUGGUGCCAAGGAGAUGAGCUGGGGACCAUUUGGGCCUCUGGGAGUGGCAGCUGCCUCAUGUCGCCCUCCAGCUUCAGCUGCAGACAACAGACCGCGGGAUAGGAGUUGGAGGCCCCCUGCACACCCACAGCAGGAGGUGCCCCUGAAGCUGCAUGGUAAAGGGGAUGGACAUACCCCAUAACAUGCCCCGGGGGCGUGAGGAUUGUUUUGAGCUGGAGGCAGAAAGAUACCUUCCAAGGCUCCUGUUACAUGACUAAAAGCAGAAGCUGCUGAGGAAGGAGGGCUGCCACGAGUCUGCCUCCCAGGGGAAGGUUUGUGGCUCUGAAGGAGGUAGACAGUGGGAUACCACUGAUGGACUUUGUCUUUCGUUAGUUUCCCCCAAAUAUUUACUUUGUUAUGAUCUGAAUGUGUCGUGU